GUUAGUCCAGCUGCCACCCAAGACAGAACGCUGCAACUUGCCGUGUCACUGACACCCAUGUGGCCCCAUGCAUUCACUCAUGCAACAUGUUUGUUUUGAAGGCUUACAAUGGGCCAGACGUGUGAGGUCUCCUGGGAAAUGGGCAGAGAUUGUCAUAGACACUUUACAAAUGUGAGUCCUGAGGCCCAACAGGUUAGGGCUUUGUUCUUUUGAGUUUUCUUCAUCAAGGGACCUCUGUACUCUGAGCCAAUUAAUUUUUCCUAGCCUACACUCACAUAUGGAUUGGGCAAUAAUGACAUGAACAAUAUUUAGACAAUAGAUGUUUAUAUCUAUCAUAGUAACAUGCUAACACAUAUUAGACGGUCUAUGUUCAAAAGCACUAUUGUAAGUGUUCUUAUAUCCAUGCACUUAUUUGGCUUCUUUAUUUAUUAUUCAGAUGAAAGAGAAAUAGGUCAUUGGGUGCAGGGCAUUUUGCAGGUAAGUAGAAGCAGAGUUUGAACUCAGGCUGUCUGGCUUUUGAAAAUAUACUAACUGCUACAGAAUAUUCUUGUAAAAAUCCAGUCAAAGCAAUUCUUCUCACUGACAGACGUAAGAACAGAGUAUCAGAACAACAAAAUGAUUCAUCACGGUCACAUAAUUUUGUCAACGGCAAUACUCAGGCUUGAUCCAGAUUUUUAACUUCAACCCAAAGAGAUCACCGGAGACACUAUAUUGAGCAGACAAGGGCACACAGAGCAGCGCCAAGUCUAAGAAUCCCAGGACACUGGAUUGAGCAAGUCGGCACACAGAGGAUAAGUGGAGGUUUAAGUGCCUGGUGGAUUUGUACCAACCAAUCAGAGAAGAGUGUGCAAAUAAACUAGGUUGAGUUGGAUGCUGUUGUAUAGUUGUGAAUGCAUCAGGAGCAAAUAUCUGUGCAAAGCAGCAACCAGGAGCUAAGCACUACUCCAAGUCACCUCUGGACCUGGGGAGGAAAGUUCCAGGAGACAAGCAGGUUCCAGAAGGCCACCAUGGGCUCAGAACAAUACAUCGAUGCCUCCAGCUUUCCCUCCCUUAAGCCUCAAGAACCAUUCUUCUGUAACAAGCUGCCAUCUGUCUCUGAGAAAUUCGUCCUUCUUUUAGAUUAAUCAAGAGUUUGUGCUUCUUAUUCAGGAGCAAAACCAAAAUAAAAUAUUCUGAAUUUAAA
rnacentral:lncRNA from 1 species